GAGCCGCGGGGGCUUCUGGGAAGCGUUGCCCCUGGUCUAACGGACCGAGGCUUGCGGCGCUCUCAGGCACCGCCAGCGCCGUCCUCAGAGGCGCCUCGCCCCAGCCCCCGCCGGCUGUGCCACUUGGGCAGCAUUAGGUGUGGAGUCGGGGCCUGUGUCCGCGGGCUCUGUGAGUUCUUCCUAUAUUAAGAAUUCAUUCAUUCAUAGACUCAUCACUUACUGAAUGCUGUCUGUGUAACAGGCACAAUCGUAGGUGCUCAGGAUAUAGCAGUGAACAAGAGACUAACCCCCUACCAUCAUGGUAUUUACAUUUUUGUGGACCAGAUAAUAAACAAGCUCUACCUCUGCAGGCCCCAUCCCUUCCCAGAAAGAAGAGGAAAUGCGUGAGUUCCAGGGAACAGUGAUAGUCAAAGAUGUGGCUAUUGACUUCACCCAGGAGGAGUGGAAGCGAUUGGAUACUGCUCAGAGAAACCUGUACUGGAACGUGAUGCUAGAAAACCAUAACAACUUAAUCACAGUGGGCUAUCCAUUCAUCAGACCUGAUGUGAUUUUCAAAUUGGAGCGAGAAGAAGAACCAUGGGUGAUGGAGGAAGAAGUAUUAAGGAGACACUGGCAAGGAGAAAUAUGGGGAGUUGAUGAGCAUCAGAAAAGCCAGGACACACUUUUGAGACAAGUUGAAGAAAAAUUCCAGAAAACACUGACUGAAGAAAAAGGUAAUGACUAUCAUAAGAAAUUUGCAAAUGUGUUUCCUCUGAACUCUGAUUUUUUUCCCUUCUAGACACAAUCUCUAUGAGUAUAACUUAUUUGGGAAGUGUUUAGAACAUAAUUUUGACUGUCAUAAUAAUGUGAAAUGCCUUAUAGGAAAGGAACAUUGUGAAUAUAAUGAACCUGUGAAAUCAUACGGUAAUAGCUCAUCCCAUUUUGUCAUUACCCCCUUUAAGGGUAAUCAUUGUGGAAAAGGCUUCAAUCAAACUUUGGACCUCAUCAGACAUCUGAGAAUUCAUACUGGAGAGAAGCCCUAUGAAUGUAGUAACUGUAGAAUAGCCUUCAGUCACAAGGAAAAACUUAUUAAACAUUAUAAAAUUCAUGGUAGGGAGCAGUCUUAUGAAUGUAAUGAAUGUGGUAAAGCUUUCAUUAAAAUGUCAAAUUUCAUUAGACAUUAAAGAAUUCAUACUGGAGAGAAACCCUAUGCAUGUAAGGAAUGUGAGAAAUCCUUCAGCCAGAAAUCAAAUCUCAUUGAUCAUGAAAAAAUUCAUACUGGAGAGAAACCUUGUGAAUGUAAUGAGUGUGGAAAAGCAUUCACCCAGAAGCAAAGCCUCAUUGCUCAUCAGAAAGUUCAUACUGGGGAGAAACCUUAUGCAUGUAAUGAAUGUGGUAAAGCCUUCCCUCGAAUUGCAUCCCUUGCUCUUCAUGUGAAAAGUCAUACAGAAGAAAAACCUUAUAAGUGUGAUAAAUGUGGUAAAGCCUUCUCUCAGUUUUCCGUGAUUAUUAUACAUGUUAGAAUUCAUACAGAUGAAAAACCCUAUGAAUGUAAUAAGUUUGGAAAAGCCUUCUCCCAGAGCUCAGCACUUACUGUACAUAUGCGAAGUCAUACUGGUGAGAAACCCUAUGAAUGUAAGGAAUGCAGAAAAGCCUUGAGCCACAAGAAAAACUUCAUUACACACCAGAAAAUCCACACUAGAGAGAAACCAUAUGAGUGUAAUGAAUGUGGGAAAGCUUUUAUACAGAUGUCAAAUCUUGUUAGACACCAGAGAAUUCAUACCAGGAAAAAAACCUAUAUAUAUAAGGAAUGUGGGAAAGCCUUUAGCCAGAAAUCAAAUAUCAUUGCUCAUGAAAAAAUUCGUUCUGGAGAGAAACCCUAUGAAUGCAACGAAUGUGGUAAAGCCUUCAGCCAAAAGCAAAACUUUAUUACACAUCAAAAAGUUCAUACUGGAGAGAAACCUUAUGAUUGCAAUGAAUGUGAUAAAGCCUUCUCUUAAAUUGCAUCCCUUACCCUCCAUUUGAGAAGUCAUACAGGGGAAAAGUCUUAUGAAUGUGGUAAAUGGUGUAAAGCCUUCUCUCAGUGCUCACUGCUUCAUUUACGUAUGAGAAGUCACACAGUUGAGAAGCCCUAUGUAUGUAAUGAAUGUGGGAAAGCCUUCUCUCAAAGAACUUCCCUUAUUGUGCACAUGAGAAGCCAUACAGGUAAAAAACCCUAUGAAUGUAAUAAAUGUGGAAAAGCCUUCUCCCAAAGCUCAUCCCUUACUAUACAUAUACGAGGACAUACAGGUGAGAAACCCUUUGACUGUAGUAAAUGUGGAAAAGCCUUCUCUCAAAUCUCAUCUUACACUUCAUGUGAGAAAACAUACAGGUGAGAAGCCCUAUCACUGUAUUGAGUGCGGCAAGGCUUUCAGCCAGAAGUCACACCUUGUCAGACACCAGAGAAUUCAUACUCAUUAGAACCCUAUGAAUAUGUGAACAUGGCAAAGCUUUCUGAAGGAAUUAACACCUCAUUGCACAUUACAUGACCAUUUCUAGAGUAGAAACCUACGAAUGUGGAAUAGCCUUCUGAAAA